AUGUUCCAUUCAGUUUUUCUUUCUUUCUUUCUUUCUUUCUUUCUUUCUUUCUUUCUUUCUUUCUUUCUUUCUUUCUUUCUUUCUUUCUUUCUUUCUUUCUUUCUUUCUUUCUUUCUUUCUUUCUUUCUUUCUUUCUUUCUUUCUUUCUUUCUUUCCUUCCUUCCUUCCUUCCUUCCUUCCUUCCUUCCUUCCUUCCUUCCUUCCUUCCUUCCUUCCUUCCUUCCUUCCUUCCUUCCUUCCUUCCUUCCUUCCUUCCUUCCUUCCUUCCUUCCUUCUUUGUCUCUCUCUGUCUCUGUCUCUGUCUCUCUUUUUCUACCAACACAUUUUGGAUCUUGCAUCCUUCCUUCCUUCCUUCCUUCCUUCCUUCCUUCCUUCCUUCCUUCCUUCCUUCCUUCCUUCCUUCCUCUUCCCAGGGCCUAUCACAAGUGACUGGAACAUAGUAGAUACUUUAUAAAUCCUUAUUCAUUGAUGGAUAUAUAUGCUUCUCUGAAC
rnacentral:lncRNA from 1 species